UAUAAAUUGCAAAAGAACGAUUUUGUAUAAUUUUAUUAGAAAAAGAUACAUCGAGUUACACGACAGUAGUGCAUAUAAAUUCCUCGAUCUCUCAUCGCACGUCUCUUCUUCCUCAUAAUCGCCACCGCCACCCCCACGCACAUCUCUCUGAAACACGUUCUAGCUCGGGAUCCACGCGCCUGCACUGCUCGAGCGCUCAAAGUCGAAUGACGAUCACACCCCCACCACUUGUAAAAGCGACGCGCGCGGCACGUUCGCUCUCAGCCAAUUUCCAGUGGUGGGGACCAGACUCGACCAAUCAGCGUAGUUUUGUCGUACGCCGCGUCGAAUCCCAGUCACGUGAUUGGCGACGUGCUUCUUUCUCCGUAUAGGUGAAGUCGCGCGCGCGUUAUCUCCUUUCUUGCUAUCCUCGUCUGUUUCCCGUCCCUUCUGUCCCUGUUUCCGUCGUUCCGUAUUGAACCGGCGGUCUCCCUCUUUCUUCUCUUUGUCGGUUUCCUCGUGGGGUGCCGCCGUUCUGCUCUCUCGCACGCGAGGACACGAGCCUGCGAUUCUCUAGAGACGAACCUCGUCGCACCUACCGCACUUCUACGAACCUUCGGGAUUUACGUUACUUCUCUCGCUACUAGCGAGAUACUGUGAUCACAGAGCGGGUCAUGCAAAUACCGUGGGAAUAAUUAUUAUUUUUACGAUGUACCUUAGAAAGGCAGUACCAAGAAAAGCCAACGGCAUGUAACGAAUUGAAUGUACAAUAUUUGCAACAUGGUAUUCGACAAAAUGCGAUGAUUGCCGUACCAUGUCGUCUACAAGAACAACGCUUAUCAGGCAGACAUCGCAGUACGUAUUAUUACGUUUGCACAAAGACUAGUUAUAUCCGGUUUAAUCAUCUACUAUGUAAUCGCAAAGCAAAUACAAAGUUAUUCACGCAAAAUCA